rnacentral:rRNA from 1 species
UACGUAGGGUGCAAGCGUUUAAUCGGAAUUACUGGGCGUAAAGCGUGCGCAGGCGGUUUUGUAAGUCUGACGUGAAAUCCCCGGGCUCAACCUGGGAAUUGCGUUGGAGACUGCAAGGCUGGAGUCUGGCAGAGGGGGGUAGAAUUCCACGUGUGAGCAGUGAAAUGCGUAGAGAUGUGGAGGAACACCGAUGGCGAAGGCAGCCCCCUGGGCCAAGACUGACGCUCAUGCACGUAAAGCG